rnacentral:rRNA from 1 species
UACGUAGGGGGCGAGCGUUGUCCGGAAUCAUUGGGCGUAAAGCGCGUGUAGGCGGCCCGGUAAGUCCGCUGUGAAAGUCCAGGGCUCAACCCUGGGAUGCCGGUGGAUACUGUCGGGCUCGAGUCCGGAAGAGGCGAGUGGAAUUCCUGGUGUAGCGGUGAAAUGCGCAGGAUAUCAGGAGGAACACCAAUGGCGAAGGCAGCUCGCUGGGACGUGACUGACGCUGAGACGCGAAAGCGUGGGAGAACAGG